rnacentral:lncRNA from 1 species
ACCCCCUGUCUUACCUGACCAUCCAAGUGCCCGUCAGAAGGCAGCACAGAAUAAAUGGAUGGAGGAUGAUAAUAAGAUGAAGUAUUAUAUUUUGGCCUCAAUGUCAAAUGAGUUGCAGAGCUAGCAUGAGAUGCCUACUACCGGGCCAUGAUUGCUCACUUGCAAGAGUUGUAUGAUGAGCAGAGCUGCACUGCAUACUUUGAAGUCUCCAA